rnacentral:rRNA from 1 species
GUGCAGCAGGCGAGAAUCUUCCACAAUGGGGAAACCCUGAUGGAGCGACGCCGCGUGCGGGAUGAAGGCCCUAUGGGUUGUAAACCGCUGUUCAGUGGAAAGAACAUCCUCCGGCUGAAUAGGUCGGAGGCCUGACGUUACCACUGCAGAAAGUCCCGGCCAACUCCGUGCCAGCAGCCGCGGUAAUACGGGGGGGACAGCGUUGUCCGGAAUCAUUGGGCGUAAAGGGCGCGUAGGCGGCGAGGAAAGUCGAAUGUGAAAUCUUGCGGCUCAACUGCAAAACUGCGUUCGAAAACUUCCUCGCUUGAGUAUGAGAGAGGUGUGCGGAAUUCCUGGUGUAGCGGUGGAAUGCGUAGAUAUCAGGAGGAACACCGGUGGCG